UACGUAGGGUGCAAGCGUUAAUCGGAAUUACUGGGCGUAAAGCGUGCGCAGGCGGCUUUGCAAGACAGAUGUGAAAUCCCCGGGCUCAACCUGGGAACUGCAUUUGUGACUGCAUGGCUGGAGUGCGGCAGAGGGGGGAUGGAAUUCCGCGUGUAGCAGUGAAAUGCGUAGAUAUGCGGAGGAACACCGAUGGCGAAGGCAAUCCCCCUGGGCCUGCACUGACGCUCAUGCACGAAAGCGUGGGGAGCAAACAG
rnacentral:rRNA from 1 species